rnacentral:lncRNA from 1 species
GAUAAAUACUUCUUUCCCAUGGGUACGAUAUUAGAAAUCUUUGUUGCGAACAGAAAAGAGAGAGACAGAGUAGAUUUGGUAGGCGGAGGAAUGGAAGGGCCAGGCUCACAUCUUAUGAACGGAGGAAGCGAAAUGCUGCAGUCAAGCGAAAUCCGCAAUCCAUCGGGUCUAAGUCCCCUUCCAAUCAGAUUCAUAAACACCUAACAUAACAGCAGCCCACAAGGCCUUGUUGAGGAUGAUCUCCUGUGUGAAAUUCGAGAAAUUCCAUUCCAUUUAUACGAGAAGUGCCGAUCCCUUUUUUAGAAUAAAAGGGGGUUUGAGGGUGUCCCAGCCGGUUCCCAUGGCCACAAAAGCUAGCGGUUCGACUCUUGCUUGAGAUUACCAAGGCGAUGAUCAGUAGCUGGUCCGAGAGGAUGAUCAGCCACAC